rnacentral:rRNA from 1 species
AGAGUUUGAUCCUGUCUCAGAACGAACGCUGGCGGCAUGCCUAACACAUGCAAGUCGAACGAACCCUUCGGGGUUAGUGGCGCACGGGUGCGUAACGCGUGGGAAUCUGCCCUUGGGUUCGGAAUAACAGUUAGAAAUGACUGCUAAUACCGGAUGAAGUCUUCGGACCAAAGAUUUAUCGCCCAGGGACGAGCCCGCGUAGGAUUAGGUGGUUGGUGGGGUAAAGGCCUACCAAGCCGACGAUCCUUAGCUGGUCUGAGAGGAUGAUCAGCCACACUGGGACUGAGACACGGCCCAGACUCCUACGGGAGGCAGCAGUGGGGAAUAUUGGACAAUGGGGGAAACCCUGAUCCAGCAAUGCCGCGUGAGUGAUGAAGGCCUUCGGGUCGUAAAGCUCUUUUACCAGGGGUGAUAAUGACAGUACCUGGAGAAUAAGCUCCGGCUAACUCCGUGCCAGCAGCCGCGGUAAUACGGAGGGAGCUAGCGUUGUUCGGAAUUACUGGGCGUAAAGCGCACGUAGGCGGUUACUCAAGUCAGAGGUGAAAGCCCGGGGCUCAACCCCGGAACUGCCUUUGAAACUAGGUGACUUGAAUCUUGGAGAGGCGAGUGGAAUUCCGAGUGUAGAGGUGAAAUUCGUAGAUAUUCGGAAGAACACCAGUGGCGAAGGCGACUCGCUGGACAAGUAUUGACGCU